CAGUCUAUAAAACAUGGGGCCUGAUGACUUUGAAGAAAGUUCAUGUUCCCUAGGAACCAAAUAACAUAAAAGCAAAACUCGAAAACAAAUGAGUCCCCUGCAGUGUACAUUCUGUCUUUCUUGGACUCUUCGGGGAUUGAUUUGGAGACAUGCUUAUCUGAUGAAACAAAAUUCUGUAAACGGAGUUUGGAAGAAAGCCUGGCAUUGCUCAGAAAACUUAUUUUCAGAGUGAGGCUUUGAAGCAUGUGACAAUGGACUGUUAAGAUGGCUCCGUGAGGAAAGCUGUUUGCUGCCAAGCCUGGUGAGCUGAGUUCCAACCUGGAACCUGGAGGAGGAAACUGAUGCCCAAAACCUGUCCUCUGACCGUCACAUGUGUGCAUACCCUCACUCCACCCCCAAAUAAAUAGAGA
rnacentral:lncRNA from 1 species